rnacentral:misc_RNA from 1 species
UUUCCGUAGGUGAACCUGCGGAAGGAUCAUUCAUAAUAAGUGUUUUAUGGCACUUUUUUAAAUCCAUAUCCACCUUGUGUGCAAUGUCAGGGUUGAUUUAUCUCUCGAGAGGAUCAACCCCAAACAUCAACUAUAUCUCAACUCUUUGUCUGAAAAAUAUUAUGAAUAAAACAAUUCAAAAUACAACUUUCAACAACGGAUCUCUUGGCUCUC